GGCUACCACAUCCAAGGAAGGCAGCAGGCGCGCAAAUUACCCACUCCCGGAACGGGGAGGUAGUGACGAAAAAUAACAAUACGGGACUCUUUUGAGACCCCGUAAUUGGAAUGAGUACACUCUAAAUCCUUUAACGAUUAUCCAUUGGAGGGCAAGUCCAGUGCCAGCAGCCGCGGUAAUUCUGGCUCCAAUAGCGUAUAUUAAAGUUGUUGCGGUUAAAAAGCUCGUAGUUGGAUCUCAGUUCUAGACGGACGGUCCGCCUACCGGCGGUCACUGUCCGUUCUGAACAGGCCAGCCGGUUUCCCCUGAUGAUCUUCACCGGUUGUCUCGGGUGACCGGCAAGUUUACUUUGAAAAAAUUAGAGUGCUCAAAGCAGGCGCGACGCCUGAAUAAUGGUGCAUGGAAUAAUGGAAUAGGACCUCGGUUCUAUUUUGUUGGUUUUCGGAACGCGAGGUAAUGAUUAAGAGGGACAGACGGGGGCAUUCGUAUUGCGACGCUAGAGGUGAAAUUCUUGGACCGUCGCAAGACGAACUACUGCGAAAGCAUUUGCCAAGAAUGUUUCCAUUAAUCAAGAACGAAAGUUAGAGGUUCGAAGGCGAUCAGAUACCGCCCUAGUUCUAACCAUAAACGAUGCCAGCCAGCGAUCCGGCUGUGUUCCUCAAAUGACACGCCGGGCAGCUUCCGGGAAACCAAAGCUUUUGGGUUCCGGGGGAAGUAUGGUUGCAG
rnacentral:rRNA from 1 species